rnacentral:rRNA from 1 species
GGCAUUUUGUCGAGGUGCUGCAUGGUUGUCGUCAGCUCGUGCCGUGAGGUGUCGGUUAAGUCCCAUAACGAGCGCAACCCCUAUUGUUAGUUGCCAGCGGGUAAUGCCGGGAUCUCUAACGAAACUGCCGGUGUAAACCGGAGGAAGGUGGGGAUGACGUCAAAUCAGCACGGCCCUUAUGUCCAGGGCUACACACGUGUUACAAUGGCCGAUACAACGGGCAGCCACCUGGUGACAGGGAGCUAAUCCUAAAAGUCGGUCUCAGUUCGGAUCGAAGUCUGCAACCCGACUUCGUGAAGCUGGAUUCGCUAGUAAUCGCAGAUCAGCCAUGCUGCGGUGAAUACGUUCCCGGGCCUU